rnacentral:rRNA from 2 species
AGAGUUUGAUCCUGGCUCAGGACGAACGCUGGCGGCAUGCCUAAUACAUGCAAGUCGAGCGGACUUGAAGAGAAGCUUGCUUCUCGGAUGGUUAGCGGCAGACGGGUGAGUAACACGUAGGCAACCUGCCCUCAAGCUUGGGACAACUACCGGAAACGGUAGCUAAUACCGAAUACUUGUUUUCUUCGCCUGAAGAGAACUGGAAAGACGGAGCAAUCUGUCACUUGGGGAUGGGCCUGCGGCGCAUUAGCUAGUUGGUGAGGUAACGGCUCACCAAGGCGACGAUGCGUAGCCGACCUGAGAGGGUGAUCGGCCACACUGGGACUGAGACACGGCCCAGACUCCUACGGGAGACAGCAGUAGGGAAUCUUCCGCAAUGGGCGAAAGCCUGACGGAGCAAUGCCGCGUGAGUGAUGAAGGUUUUCGGAUCGUAAAGCUCUGUUGCCAGGGAAGAACGCUUGGGAGAGUAACUGCUCUCAAGGUGACGGUACCUGAGAAGAAAGCCCCGGCUAACUACGUGCCAGCAGCCGCGGUAAUACGUAGGGGGCAAGCGUUGUCCGGAAUUAUUGGGCGUAAAGCGCGCGCAGGCGGUCAUGUAAGUCUGGUGUUUAAUCCCGGGGCUCAACCCCGGAUCGCACUGGAAACUGUGUGACUUGAGUGCAGAAG